rnacentral:rRNA from 1 species
AUUGAACGCUGGCGGCAUGCUUUACACAUGCAAGUCGAACGGUAACAGGGAGCUUGCUCCGCUGACGAGUGGCGAACGGGUGAGUAAUGCAUCGGAACGUACCCAGUCGUGGGGGAUAACGUAGCGAAAGUUACGCUAAUACCGCAUACGUCCUGAGGGAGAAAGCGGGGGACCGUAAGGCCUCGCGCGAUUGGAGCGGCCGAUGUCGGAUUAGCUAGUUGGUGGGGUAAAGGCCUACCAAGGCGACGAUCUGUAGCGGGUCUGAGAGGAUGAUCCGCCACACUGGAACUGAGACACGGUCCAGACUCCUACGGGAGGCAGCAGUGGGGAAUUUGGACAAUGGGGGCAACCCUGAUCCAGCCAUGCCGCGUGAGUGAUGAAGGCCUUCGGGUUGUAAAGCUCUGUGGGAGAGAAGAAUAAGUCGUAGUGAAUAUCUACGAUGAUGACGGUAUCUCCUUAGCAAGCACCGGCUAACUCUGUGCCAGCAGCCGG